rnacentral:hammerhead_ribozyme from 1 species
ACAUUACUGAGGAGUCCUAAAAUAGGAUGAAACAGAUGUCCGGUGU